rnacentral:sRNA from 1 species
GCCGGGUGUGGUGGUGCACACCUGUAAUCCCAGUGGCUCAGGAGGCUGAGACAGGAGGAUUAUGAUAUGAGUUCAAAGCCAGCCUCAGCAAAAGCGCUUAAGCAACUCAGUGAGAUCCUGUGUCUA